UUUUUAUAUUGUUGUCGCCUUCGUUUUAAGCACUUCUAGUGACCUGUCAAGCACGCAAACGACGUGAUCCAUAGCACUUUGAUAAGUGCUUCACUCCGACAGAAUGCUACGGUACAGCACUCUUAGUUUGAUUCUUCUCCUUGCGAGUCAUAUUUCUGCCUUUCCAUACCAAGGAAACAGUUAUGGUUGGCGAGAACGUGCCAUUUAUUCGCUAAGAAACCGCGGGUUUUUACGCCAGUCUGUAGACAGACAAUGGAACAUCGAUCGCAUGACGCGAAGAAACCAUCGCAUGGCAAUACAGAGGUCCACCGGAUCGCUUCAUAGAGCGGGAUAUAACAUGGGUUAACCGCUUCAUCUAUUGGUUUACUGUUGCAGAUAAUUACAGUCCCUGAGGAAUCUAAUUAUCUUUGUUAAUAAAACAAAGUUGUGUUGACUGCGUGUGCAGUGUUUUGUUUAAAUACGUAUAUGUAUAAUAAACUAAG